GAACUGCCUGAGGAGGGACCAUCUGCAAAUGCACUGGGCCCUGGGAGUGCCGAGGCGAGGUCACCGCAGGCCAGAGGCCCCUUCGGUGGCGUGAUGUCCUUUCUCUGUCUGCCCGCAGCCCACAAACACAAGAAGCAGGACCAGCUGCAGCCCUGCGACACGGAGUACCCCGUGUUCGUGUACCAGCCGGCCAUCCAGGAGGCCAACGGGAUCAUCGAGUGCGGGCCCUGCCAGAAGGUAUUUGUGGUGCAGCAGAUUCCCAACAGUAACCUCCUCCUCCUGGUGACAGACCCCACCUGUGACUGCAGCAUCUUCCCACCAGUGCUGCAGGAGGCGACAGAAGUCAAAUAUAAUGCCUCUGUCAAAUGUGACCGGAUGCGCUCCCAGAAGCUCCGCCGGCGACCAGACUCCUGCCACGCCUUCCAUCCAGAGGAGAACGCCCAGGACUGCGGCGGCGCCUCGGACACCUCAGCCUCGCCGCCCCUACUCCUGCUGCCUGUGUGUGCCUGGGGGCUACUGCCCCAACUCCUGCGGUGACACCACCCAGCCUGACCUGUGUUUUGGCAAGGUGAUCCUUCCAGAGCCAUCCCAAAAGUCAACACUGACAUGGGAUGCAGCUAACUGCAGUUGGGUCGCCCCCAGGCCAACGCUCCUCUCAAUCCUGGGCU
rnacentral:sRNA from 1 species